GUUAGGAAUCUUCCACAAUGGGGGCAACCCUGAUGGAGCAACACCGCGUGCUGGAUGAAGGCCUUCGGGUCGUAAACAGCUUUUGUAUACGAAGAAUAUGACGGUAAUAUACGAAUAAGGGUCGGCUAACUACGUGCCAGCAGCCGCGGUCAUACGUAGGACCCAAGCGUUAUCCGGAGUGACUGGGCGUAAAGAGUUGCGUAGGCGGCUUAUUAAGCGAGUAGUGAAAUCUGGUGGCUCAACCAUCAACACAUUGCUCGAACUGAUAGGCUUGAGAAUGGUAGAGGUAGUUGGAAUUUCUUGUGUAGGAGUGAAAUCCGUAGAUAUAAGAAGGAACACCAAUGGCGUAGGCAGACUACUGGACCAUUUCUGACGCUGAGGCACGAAAGCGUGGGGAGCGAACCGGAUUAGAAACCCCGGUAGUCC
rnacentral:rRNA from 1 species